rnacentral:lncRNA from 1 species
ACACUUCCCAGAUUUCCUGUGCAGUUUGAGCAGCUUUGACCCUACGCUGGAUCCUAUGAAACCUAGGAACUAUGAAACUAUCCUCGUCUGGCUCCCGUGCUUGAAUCACUUCUGCCUGAGACUUGGACAUCUGCUUCUAACCCACUGCAAGAAAAACUCCAACUUCCAUAAGUCUUCUUGGAGUGAUUCAUAUUGUUCAACCUGCAUCCCCUGCCAGUUCUCGAGCUGUCGGGUACCAAAAGAUGUGUUUCCUCCAUAGGAGAAAACACGUCUUCUCAUUCUGCCCUUGUGACGUGCUUUUUACAUCCAUGGUGAAAAAAGCAGCCGGAUGGUCCAGGGUCUCUGCCGAAGCCUUCUCGCUGGCAUCCCUGCUUUUUCUGCAUUGCGGAUCCCCCUUGCGCUCCUUUCAGCGAAAGCUUCCCCAACACAUUUUCAUCUGGACAAAGACCAUCGGCCGUCGCUUUGGGAAUAUCCCCGUGAAUGAGGAGGAGACGCUCGCGUACUUCAUGUACAUGGUGAAGAACAACAAGAGCAGGCAGGACCAGAAAUCGGAAGGCAGCAAGCAGCUGGAAUGAAAACUAGAUGGACUUUGGACAAGAAGAAGUGAGGUGUUGAAAAAGCAGACAUGCCACGCGCUAAGGACAACUGCACUGGAAGGACAGGAAAGCAUGCCCUCCUGCAUUUUCCAUUUAUAAGGGAAUACCGUGCGUGUGUAGUAAGUAUUUAUAAUGCUUCCUUGGACCAGAUGACUCCUUCCAGCCCCACUGUGAUCCCUGUGAAAGCGUGGCAGAGGCGGUAGCACAGCGACUAGGAGCAUCCUCACACUGCACGUGUGCAAGGCCUUUCCAACCAGUAUCAGCUGCCAGGGUCCUAGCAGAUGUGCUGAGCAGCGUGUCCUGCACCCCCCUCCUUGCCUGGACGCCCACCGGGAGCAGUGCUGGCUUGGCAGCUGCCAAAGCCCCCGUUCCCUGCCGUUCUCCCUCGUGCCGUACGGGGACAGCAUUCCCCCAGUAACGCAGCAGCCGCAAACGGGCCCGGUUCCCUGAGCUGCUAGGGCGGCUUGGAGAGCUGGAGGGAUGCUAGCCACGCUCCUGUCACUGCGGCACGAGCUGGCUGCGCUUGUCAGAGGCAGGAAGCGGGAUUAGGCUGCAUUAAAGGACGUGGCG